CAGUAAUGCAGUAACUGAUGUGGACAAAGUGAUGUGGCUGUGGCGGACACAGUAAUGCAGUAACUGAUGUGGACACACUGAUGCAGUAACUGAUGUGGACAAAGUGAUGAUGUGACUGAGGCGGACACAGUAAUGCAGUAACUGAUGUGGACAAAAUGAUGUUUUGACCGAGGCGGACACAGUAAUGCAGUAACUGAUGUGGACAAAGUAAUGUUUUGACUGAGGCGGACACAGUAAUGUUGUAACGAUAACUUAUUCGGGCCGAGUAAUGUUGUUUCUGAUGUGGACACAGUAAUGUAGUAACUGGUGUGAAAAAUUAUCAUGCAGUAACUGGUGUGGACACAGUAAUGUUGUAACUAGUGUGGACAGUUAUGCUGUAGCUGGUGUGGACAAGGUAAUGUUGUAACUAGUGUGGACAGUUAUGCUGUAGCUGGUGUGGACAAGGUAAUGUUGUAACCACUGUGGACACAGUAAUUUGUGGAUGGUGUGGACACAGUAAUUUGUGAAUGGUGUGGACACAGUAAUUUGUGGAUGGUGUGGAUACAGUAAUGUUGUAGCUGAUGUGGACAAGGUAAUGUUGUAACUGGAGUAGACGCAGUGAUGUUUUAACUGGUGUGGACAAAAUAAAGUUGUAACUAGUGUGGACACAGUAAUGCAAAUGAACAUUUAAAAUGUCUAAAAGAUGUAUCGUUGUAUUCUCAAGAGUCACGUGACCAGAGGUUUGCAAUUUCUCCCAAUAACUGUACAAAAUACAAUCAGAGGAGUAGUUCACGUGGUUUGGGGCCAUCUCUACUCGCACCCUCUGUGUUAUUCCUUGUGCCGCCACUGUCCAAAUUGACCCAUCGUUUUUGGAGAGCUUGUGCCUGUUUCUGAUGUAAUCCUGAUUACAACUAGAUGGAUAGUUUCAAAAUAGUUUGGUUGUAUAGGCUGAAUAGAUUCUGAUGUAACCAAGUGGAGGCCUGUCGUAAUUGGAAGUGAAAGUUAAGGGAGACAAGCUAGAGAUGAGUGUUUAUUUUGUGUGCAUUUUUAAAAAAAUUGUUUAAGAUACAAUAUCGCUUGUGUUUUACCGACAUCUGCAUUGCCUUUGAAAUCUGUAUAUAUACUGUUGAUAGUUGUUAUACAUGUAGUCAUUUUGGUUUGAAAAGAGGGUUAGAGGUUCUACAUUAAGAAUGCAAUAUGCCUACAACGAUGUAGCAGGCCUUGCACUAACUGUCUGGCGCUACAACA
rnacentral:sRNA from 1 species